rnacentral:rRNA from 1 species
AGGGUUCGAUUCUGGCUCAGGAUGAACGCUGGCGGCGUGCCUAAUACAUGCAAGUCGAUCGAAAUGUAGCAAUACAUUUAGAGGCGAACGGGUGAGUAACACGUAGGUCAUCUGCCCCAAGGACUGGGAUACCCAAACGAAAGUUUGGCUAAUACCGGAUAUGAAGAGAUUUAAAAGUAGCUACGGCUACACCAUGGGAUGAGCCUGCGGCGCAUUAGCUAGUUGGUGAGGUAACGGCCCACCAAGGCAAUGAUGCGUAGCCGACCUGAGAGGGUGAACGGCCACAUUGGAACUGAGAACGGUCCAG